CAAUAAAAAAAACAAGAAAAAUGGAAGGAAAGGCCAUCAGAUCCGAGAGUGAGAAAGGAAAAAGAGUGGGGUUGGAUUUUUUUAGUAGAAAACCUUUGAUCUAUGAAGAUCUAACCGUCCAAACUCAAAUUCGAAUUCGGUAACGUGAUUUACGAAGUUCGAUCUACGUUUCUACCGAUCGUUUUGAGGCUUUGUGUUAUUUGGAGCAUGCAAAGAUUCCCCAAAUACCGGGUAUUAUUUGGGUAAAUUUUUGGACAUUGAUAUUUUGGUUGCAGGUUUUACGGAUAUAGAUAUUGACUCGUCCACCUAGCGUAUGGGAUGCUAUGAUUGGAGCAUAUCGUGACAGUCAUAAGCCACAGACUCAUAGGUAAUCUGUAUUUUGGGUAUUUUAUUUAUGGCUCGUGUCCUAUGUGGCAUAUGUCUUUGGUUGAGCCUGUA